rnacentral:lncRNA from 1 species
AGUGUUUUCUCAUUGUAUGUUUUGUGUAAGAGUUUGAGAAGGAUUGGUAUUUAUUCUUCUUUAAUUGUUUGUUAGAAUUCGCCCAGUGAAGCCAUUUACUCCUGGGAUUUAUUUGUUGAGAGGUUUUAUGAUUACUGAUUGUAAUGGGAAAAAACGCAGUUUUCCUCUUUCCUAUGCUGGGAAAAAUACCAGCUUUUCCCUACUGUCUUUCUUUCCUGUGAGUCUCCUUUAUGACUCACAGAAAUCAUUUCACUUCUGGUUCCCAAAUGUGUGGAGGUUUCUCCCCACAAGAACAAGCAGUUCUCAGACAGCAGCAAGGUGUCCAAGAAUUCAACUCAGUUCUGACACUAUCUACCCAGGACAGCACCAGAUCACACAGGAUAUGAUAAAGGAUGCAGAUAAACAGCCAGAUGAAGAGAUGCAUGCGGCGAGGUCUGGGAUGAUCCUGAGUGCAGGAGCUUCUGUCCUCAAGGAGUUGGGGUGUGUCACCCCCCAUGUGGUUGUUCACCCACCUGGAAGUUCUCUGAACCCCCUAUUAUUGGGAUUUUAUGGAGGCUUCCUCAUCCUCCCGGCACAUAGCCGUAGAUUCUUCGCUGUGGGUCCCUCCAGCUGCGGUAUGCGGGACGCUGCCCCAGCGCGGCCCGAUGAGCAGUGCCAUGUCCGCGCCCAGGACCCGAACAAACGAAACACUGGGCCGCCUGCAGCGGAGUACGCGAACUCAACCACUCGGGCACGGGGCUAGCCCCCAUGUGUAGUUUUUAAUACAUAUUUCUGUUGUUAGGUUGAAUUUUAUUUAGGUGUCCUUUAGGUCUAGUUAGUAUUGUUCAACUCUUCCAUUUGCUUGUUGAUCUUCUGUCUCUUUAUUUUACAUUGUUGAAAUGAGAUACUGAAGCUUCCAAUUAUUAUUUUUAAAUUUUAAAUUUCUUCCUUUGUUUCUGUCAACUUUUACCUCAUAUAUUUUGGCAUUCUUUUGUUAGGAAUAUAUACUGUUAUAAGUGUUUUCUUUUCCUGGUAGAUUGAAACUACUAUUAUUAUAAACUGUCCUGCUUUUCCAUAAUAACAAUUUUUGUCUUAAUGUCUAUCUUGUUUCAUAUCACUGUAGCUAUCCCAGGUGUCUUUUAGACAUUAUUUGCAUGGUAUAACUUUUCCACUUUUUAUUUCAACUAAUUUUAGUCUGUGAAUGCAGGGUGCAUCUCUUCUAGAAAGCAUAUAGCUGGAUCAAGUUAUUUUUUCUCAUCCAUCUGCCAAUCUCUGUCUUCUAAUUGGAGUGUUUAAUCUAUUUACAUUUAAGGUAACUACCAAUGAUGUAUGGUUUAUAUUAGCAAAUUUGCAAUAUGUUUUCUAUAUGUCUUAUUUUUCUUAUUCCUUUGUUCCUCCAUUACUGGAGUGCUAAUGGCUUUCUAGUGGAUAAUUUUAAUUAGUUAUUUUCUUAGUGUUUGCCAAUGGUGUUAUUAACAUCUCAACUUACAAAAAUCUAGUUUAGAUUAACAUCAAAUUAAUUUCAAUAGUAUAUGAAAACUUUUCUACUCUAUAGCUCCAUUCUCUUUUCCUUUUUUGUGCUAUUAUUACACAAAUUACAUCUUUAUUCCUUAUAAAGCAUCAAUAUUAUAUUAUAAUUAUUGAUUUAUGAAAUUGUCAUUAUAAUCAGAUUGAAAAGUAAAGAGUUCAAGAAAAUGUUUAAACUGUCUUUUAUAUUUAUAUAUGUAGUCAUUUUUAUUGAUGCUCUUUAUUUCUUUGUAUGUAUUCAAGUUUUUACUUAGUAACCUUUCAUUUUAUCUUGAAGGACUCUCUUUAGUAUUUCUUCUAUGGCAUGUCUGCUAGGGACAUGUUAUUUGAUUUUUGUUCAUACGUAAAUGUCUUAAUUGCUCCUAUGUUUUAUGAAGGAUAGUUUUGCCUGAUAUAGGUUCUUGAAUUACACUUUUUCUUUCAGCUCGUUGGAUAUAUGAUCCCACUUCCCUCUGCUUCUCAUGGUUUCUGAUGAAACAUCAGCUGUUAAUCUUAUUGAGAGUGUAUUUAUGGGAUGAGCUGCUUCUCUCUUGCUGCUUUAGAGAUUCUCUCUUUUUCUUUGACUUUCAACAUGUGUCUAGGUAUGGAUCUCUUUCAGUUUAAUCUAUUUGGAUUUUUUUGAACUUUUGGAUGUGAAGAUUUAUGUUUUUCAUCAAAUUUGGCAAGUUUUAUCUAUUAUUUCUUCAAAUAUUCCUUAUAUCCCUUUCUCAUUCUCCUCUCCACUUGGAAUUCCCUUUAUGGAUAUGUUGGUGUGCUAUAUGUUGUUACACAAAUUUCUGAGGUUCUAAUGAUGUUUCUUCAUCUUUUUUGUUUUAUUUCUCAGGCAGGAAAAUCUCACUUGACUCAUCCUCACGUUCAUUAAUU